ACAACCAGGAUGUUGGCUUAGAAGCAGCCACUCAUUUAAAGAGUGCGUAAUAGCUCACUGGUCGAGUGAUUCUGCGCCGAAAAUUUCCGGGGCUAAAACUUACUACCGAAGCUACGGCAUCAUUUAUGAUGGGUAGGGGAGCUUCGUAUGCAGGCUGAAGCAUGACCGUAAGGACAUGUGGACAGUAUACGAGUGAGAAUGUUGGCAUGAGUAGCGAGAUGUGGGUGAGAAUCCCACAGGCCGUAAACCCAAGGUUUCCAGGGGAAGGUUCGUCCGCCCUGGGUUAGUCAGGACCUAAGCCGAGGCCGAAAGGCGUAGGUGAUGGACAACAGGUUGAUAUUCCUGUACCACCAAUAACCGUUUGAGAAAUGGGAUGACACAGUAGGAUAAGCUAACCGCACUGUUGGUUAUGUGCGGGCAAGUAUUGAGGCAGUUCCGAUAGGCAAAUCCGUCGGAAUAAUGCUGGGGUACGAUGCGGAGCGAAAUUUAGUAGCGAAGUAGCUGAUUUCACACUGUCGAGAAAAGUCUCUAUCGAGGUUAAAGGUGCCUGUACCGCAAACCGACACAGGUGGGUGAGGAGAGUAUCCUAAGGCCAGCGAGAGAACUGUUGUUAAGGAACUCGGCAAAAUGACCCCGUAACUUAGGGAGAAGGGGUGCCUUCGAAAGAAGGCCGCAGAGAAUAGGCCCAAGCGACUGUUUACCAAAAACAUAGGUUUCUGCUAAGUCGCAAGACGAUGUAUAGGAGCUGACGCCUGCCCGGUGCUGGAAGGUUAAGGGGAUCUGUUAGAGCAAUCGAAGCAGUGAACUUAAGCCCCAGUAAACGGCGGCCGUAACUAUAACGGUCCUAAGGUAGCGAAAUUCCUUGUCGGGUAAGUUCCGACCCGCACGAAAGGCGUAACGAUUUGGGCACUGUCUCAACAACAGACUCGGUGAAAUUGUAAUACCGGUGAAGAUGCCGGUUACCUGCGACAGGACGGAAAGACCCCAUGGAGCUUUACUGUAGCUUGACAUUGAGUCUCGGUGCUACAUGUACAGGAUAGGUGGGAGACUAUGAAGCAUGGACGUCAGUCUGUGUGGAGUCAUCCUUGGGAUACCACCCUUGUAGUACUGGGAUUCUAACCAGAGGCCAUGAAUCUGGUCUUGGGACACUGUCAGGUGGACAGUUUGACUGGGGCGGUCGCCUCCCAAAAAGUAACGGAGGCGCUCAAAGGUUCUCUCAGUACGGUCGGAAAUCGUACGAAGAGUGUAAAGGCAAAAGAGAGCUUGAUUGCAAGACAUACAGGUCGAGCAAGGACGAAAGUCGGACUUAGUGAUCCGGUGGUUCCGCAUGGAAGGGCCAUCGCUCAACGGAUAAAAGCUACCCUGGGGAUAACAGGCU
rnacentral:rRNA from 1 species